GACCUACAAAGUUAGCACACAGAUUGCAGGGCUAAUUUAGGAAUACCAUAAGAAUGAACGUUAAGAUAAACCAGUCAAACCACCAGCCCUAUAAUCGUCGAUCCACUAAAUUCCGACCGAACCUCUGCGACGGUCUCUGUCUUCCCCCUCUCUCUCAUGGACGGAUCACCGAUCUACCAUCUACCACAUGACACCCUCCAUCAGAUCUUCUCAAACCUCCCUCUCCGUCAGAUCAUCAUCUGCCGAUCAGUUUCCAAAUUCUUCAACCACAUUCUCACCUCACCUUCCUUCAUAAACCUCAUCUCCACCAGACCAAACCUCCACCUCCUCGCUCUCCGCCACCCCUACCACCAUCACCACCACCACCACCGCCACGCGUCCCCCAAUCCCACCCUCCACGUCUUCGAUCCCGACCAGAAUCAAUGGCUCAGAUUCCCCCUCCAUUUCCUUCCCUUCCGUUCCCCUCAACCCGUCGCUUCCUCUCUCGGACUCGUCUAUCUCUGGGCCGACUCGCCCGAUUCCAACAAAUCACUAGUCGCCUGUAACCCUUUGACUCGGCAGUACCGAGUCUUGCCCCAACUCGGAUCCGCCUGGUCGCGUCAUGGUUCCGUCCUGGUCGGCUCACCCAACCGAGUCCUCGUCCUCACUGAACUCGCUGCUCUGUAUUUCUCAGGCUCCAACAACAAUUGGCUCAAGUUUUCGUCGAAUUUACCAUCCAAACCACGAAGCCCUAUCUUGGUUUCUGACUCUGUACUCGCUCUCUGCGACAUUGGGUCUCCUUGGCGAAGCCAGUGGAAGCUCUUCACAUGCACACUCGCGGAUCUGCAGAGUUCUCAAGCCUGGACUCGUCUCGAGAGGCACGAAUGGGGAGAUGUUUUCGACAUCCUGAAACGACCGCGUUUGGUGAGGGGUCUCGGGAACAGAAUCCUGAUGAUUGGGGGUUUGAAAUCUUCGUUUUCGCUGAACGCAUCGUGCUCGACGAUCCUGAUCCUGAGGCUGGAUCUGGAGACGCUGGAGUGGGACGAAGCCGGUCGAAUGCCGGCGGAGAUGUUCCGGUGCUUCAAGGAAUCGAGCAAGUUCAAGGUAUUUGGAGGUGGGAAUAGGGUUUGCUUUUCAGGGAAGAGGGUUGGGAGGCUGGCAUUGUGGGACUAUUCGGCGGAGGCAGGGAAGGGGCAGUGGCGGUGGAUUGACGGAGUGCCGGGGAACGGGGAUGGGCUUUGCCGUGGUUUCCUGUUCGAAGUUCAGCUCACGGCCAUGCCUUGAAGGAUCAAUGAUGGACUGGUAACACUGGUUUGAUUAUAAUUUCAAUUGAAUAUUGGGAAUUGUGUUGGAGAUGCUGGAUUUUAUUGAAGAAGGAUGGUUAUAAUGCUUACAGUCCCAAAUGUCUCGUUAUAUACUGAAAGCCAAUGGAUUAAUCGGGGUCAUUACAAGAAAUUAUUCAGCAGACAUGGCUGGGACUUGAUGGUGAUUUCUGAAAGAUGCAUGCGUUUAAGGAUCUUUUAGCUCAAAAGGCUAUACACUUUUACAAGUAAUCAGAUUCUUCUGAAGGGUUCUUGAAGGUAGGCAUUGUAUGUCAUCGUUUUUAUAAUGGCAAUGUUCUAGCAUUUUGCUAAUUGAGAUAUUCCACAGUGUUCAAUGCUUCUGCCAUUCCACAGUCACACUAUUUAUGUGGUUGUUAUAUCUAUAUACAUUGUAUAUGCUUUGAGUUUUAGAUUGCAUGGCUUAUCCUUGUAUUGGUUACAUAAACACUGAUCAAGAAACCUGUGUAGCUCCAAGCAUAGGUAGUUAGAAUGCAUGAAGUGUGGUGAAGAAUGCAUCUUAAAGUGUGCAGUUUGAAAUUAAUACCAUUUAUGUUUUUCUGUA